ensembl:snoRNA SNORA62 Small nucleolar RNA SNORA62/SNORA6 family
UCCGUUACUAUAACAUUUUGGUAAUAAAAUGAAAACACAAAACAAAACAAUGAACUCACAGGUGCAGGCAGUAUGCUCCGUGAGGGGUGAGUCCUCCGCCAACACUACACAGGUCUCUGGCCCAAUGAGUGGAGUUUGGUAGUAAUUAUCGCUACAAGU